ensembl:snRNA U6 U6 spliceosomal RNA
GUGCUCUCUUCAGCAGCACAUGUACUAAAAUUGGAACAGAAGAUACAGAGAUUAGCAUGGACCGUGCACAAGGAUGACGCGCAAAUUCGUGAAGCGUUUCCAUAUUUU